CUAGAGAUAGAAAGUUACUUCGGUACAUCGGUGACAGGUGGUGCAUGGUUGUCGUCAGCUCGUGUCGUGAGAUGUUGGUUAAGUCCGCAACGAGCGCAACCCCUAUUGUUACGUUGCCAUCAUUCAGUUGGGCACUCUAGCGAGACUGCCGGUAAUAAACCGGAGGAAGGUGGGGAUGACGUCAAAUCAUCAUGCCCCUUAUGACCUGGGCUACACACGUGCUACAAUGGUUGGUACAACGAGUUGCGAGUCGGUGACGGCGAGCUAAUCUCUUAAAGCCAAUCUCAGUUCGGAUUGUAGGCUGCAACUCGCCUACAUGAAGUCGGAAUCGCUAGUAAUCGCGGAUCAGCACGCCGCGGUGAAUACGUUCCCGGGCCUU
rnacentral:rRNA from 1 species